GGAGAUUUCGGUCAACUGAGUACGAGGACAGUGGCGGACGGGUGAGUAACGCGUGAGGAACCUGCCUUUCAGAGGGGGACAACAGUUGGAAACGACUGCUAAUACCGCAUAACACAUUGAGAUCGCAUGGUCUUAAUGUCAAAGAUUUAUCGCUGAAAGAUGGCCUCGCGUCUGAUUAGCUAGUUGGUGAGGUAACGGCCCACCAAGGCGACGAUCAGUAGCCGGACUGAGAGGUUGAACGGCCACAUUGGGACUGAGAUACGGCCCAGACUCCUACGGGAGGCAGCAGUGGGGAAUAUUGGGCAAUGGGCGCAAGCCUGACCCAGCAACGCCGCGUGAAGGAAGAAGGCUUUCGGGUUGUAAACUUCUUUUGUUAGGGAAGAGGAGAAGACUGUACCUAGCGAAUAAGCCACGGCUAACUACGUGCCAGCAGCCGCGGUAAUACGUAGGUGGCAAGCGUUGUCCGGAUUUACUGGGUGUAAAGGGCGUGUAGCCGGGUCGGUAAGUCAGAUGUGAAAUCCACGGGCUCAACUCGUGAACUGCAUUUGAAACUGCUGGUCUUGAGUAUCGGAGAGGCAAUCGGAAUUCCUAGUGUAGCGGUGAAAUGCGUAGAUAUUAGGAGGAACACCAGUGGCGAAGGCGGAUUGCUGGACGACAACUGACGGUGAGGCGCGAAAGCGUGGGGAGCAAACAGGAUUAGAUACCCUAGUAGUCCACGCCGUAAACGAUGAGUACUAAGUGUUGGGGUUACCC
rnacentral:rRNA from 1 species